CCCUGGAGCAUAGCAGGUGCUUGACUUAGAGCAGGAGUGAUGAGGGGCUGGUGUGACAAAGGACACAUCACAGCCUCACUGUGCUUAUUUGACACAGCCUCACCAAGACAGAACAGUUGACAGGGGUACAGAGGUGUCCAAUUGAAGUCAAACACGGAGUCUACAUCUGCUCAUAUGGAAAAUGGAAUUCCAGGUGAUGUGCCUUGGUAGCCCAAGCACAAUCUUCUCAUCUUGAUAAGAAAAAUGAGAGGGAAACCAACAGGUGCUGGUGAUACAAUUGAUCCCACUGAAGAAGCAAUAAAUUGUGCCACUGACUGA